rnacentral:rRNA from 1 species
UGGCGGACGGGUGAGUAAUGUCUGGGAAACUGCCUGAUGGAGGGGGAUAACUACUGGAAACGGUAGCUAAUACCGCAUAACGUCGCAAGACCAAAGAGGGGGACCUUCGGGCCUCUUGCCAUCGGAUGUGCCCAGAUGGGAUUAGCUAGUAGGUGGGGUAACGGCUCACCUAGGCGACGAUCCCUAGUUGGUCUGAGAGGAUGACCAGCCACACUGGAACUGAGACACGGUCCAG